rnacentral:rRNA from 1 species
UAAACAAGCCGCUACAGCACACCAGACACAGCUUACAAACCCAAUGCUGCUAACACACCAAAUAGCUAGGCCUGCACUUUUAGUUGGGGCGACUACGGAGCGAAAUGAAACCUCCACUACCAGGACUAACCAUCCACUUAAGGCCAACAAGCCAAAAGCAAGCACCACCACACGACCCAGUACAACUGAGCAACGAACCAAGCUACCCCGGGGAUAACAGCGCCAUCCUCUCCAAGAGUCCCUAUCGACGA